GUUUAUCAAUACGUACAUUGUAAAACUCAAUAAACUCAAAAUUGUCAUUACGAUCAUAUUAAAACUGUGAUUAGUCUUACACUGCUAACCCAAGACAUUGUGGCGUAAGGAAGUAUUAUAAAAUAUUUCAACAUUAUGAAACUAUUUGCAUUACUUUUAUUACUAGCUUGUAUGACUGCGAUAGAAUGCGAAAGAAUUACCAGGACCCGACGUUAUGCGCAGCAGGCCUGGAGUGUAGGUCGAGACCUCGACCGCGACUGGCCUCACUAUCUAGGAAUACCUGGUUAUAAGUGAACAACCCCAAACCUACCACCGAUCAGCUGUAACCUUCAAACAAUAAAGGCAUUUUGUUUUGUCUGUGAUC